UAGCUGGUCUGAGAGGAUGAUCAGCCACACUGGAACUGACACACGGUCCAGACUCCUACGGGAGGCAGCAGUGAGGAAUUUUGCGCAAUGGGGGAAACCCUGACGCAGCAACGCCGCGUGAGUGAUGAAGGCUUUCGGGUCGUAAAGCUCUGUCAAGUGGGAAGAAACCACGAGGUGAUAAUAUCGCUUUGUGCUGACGGUACCACUGAAGGAAGCACCGGCUAACUCCGUGCCAGCAGCCGCGGUAAUACGGGGGGUGCAAGCGUUAUUCGGAAUCAUUGGGCGUAAAGGGCGCGUAGGCGGUUUGUUAAGUCAGAUGUGAAAGCCCGGGGCUCAACCCCGGAAGUGCAUUUGAUACUGGCGGACUUGAGUAUGGGAGAGGGAAGUGGAAUUCCUGGUGUAGAGGUGAAAUUCGUAGAUAUCAGGAGGAACACCGGUGGCGAAGGCGACUUCCUGGACCAAUACUGACGCUGAGGCGCGAAGGCGUGGGUAGCAAACAGGAUUAGAUACCCUGGUAGUCCACGCAGUAAACGGUGAUCACUAGGUGUAGCGGGUAUUGACCCCUGCUGUGCCGCAGUUAACGCAUUAAGUGAUCCGCCUGGGGAGUACGGCCGCAAGGUUAAAACUCAAAGGAAUUGACGGGGGCCCGCACAAGCGGUGGAGCAUGUGGUUUAAUUCGACGCAACGCGAAGAACCUUACCUGGGUUUGACAUCUCGGGGAUUUUUUGGAAACAAGAAAGUGCCCUUCGGGGAGCCCGAAGACAGGUGCUGCAUGGCUGUCGUCAGCUCGUGUCGUGAGAUGUUGGGUUAAGUCCCGCAACGAGCGCAACCCUUAUCUUUAGUUACCAUCACUUCGGGUGGGGACUCUAAAGAUACUGCCCCGGUCAACGGGGAGGAAGGUGGGGAUGACGUCAAGUCCUCAUGGCCUUUAUGCCCAGGGCUACACACGUGCUACAAUGGGCGAUACAAAGGGUAGCGAGCCUGCGAAGGUGAGCCAAUCCCAAAAAGUCGUUCUUAGUUCGGAUUGGAGUCUGCAACUCGACUCCAUGAAGCUGGAAUCGCUAGUAAUCGCGGAUCAGCACGCCGCGGUGAAUACGUUCCCGGGCCUUGUACACACCGCCCGUCACACCAUGAGAGUUGGUUGUACCAGAAGUUGUUGGGCUAACCCGCAAGGGAGGCAGGCACCUAAGGUAUGGCUGAUGAUUGGGGUGAAGUCGUAACAAGGUA
rnacentral:rRNA from 1 species